rnacentral:rRNA from 1 species
UCCUGUAGUGGGGGAGCCCGGCGAAAGCCGGAUUAAUACCGCAUACGCUCUACGGAGGAAAGGGGGGGAUCUUGACCUCUCGCUACAGGGGCGGCCGAUGGCAGAUUAGCUAGUUGGUGGGGUAAAGGCCUCAAGGCGACGAUCUGUAGCUGGUCUGAGAGGACGACCAGCCACACUGGGAGUGAGACAGCCCAGACUCCUACGGGAGGCAGCAGUGGGGAAUUUUGGACAAUGGGCGCAAGCCUGACAGCAAUGCCGCGUGUGUGAAGAAGGCCUUCGGGUUGUAAAGCACUUUUGUCCGGAAAAAACGUCGUGGUUAAUACCCGUGGCGGAUGACGGUACCGGAAGAAUAAGCACCGGCUAUACGUGCCAGCAGCCGCGGUAAUACGUAGGGUGCAAGCGUUAAUCGGAAUUACUGGGCAAAGCGUGCGCAGGCGGUCCGCUAAGACAGAUGUGAAAUCCCCGGGCUUAACCUGGGAUGCAUUUGUGACUGGCGGGCUAGAGUAUGGCAGAGGGGGGUAGAAUUCCACGUGUAGCUGAAAUGCGUAGAGAUGUGGAGGAAUACCGAUGGCGAAGGCAGCCCCCUGGGCCAAUAGACGCUCAUGCACGAAAGCGUGGGGAGCAAACAGGAUUAGAUACCCUGGUAGUCCACGCUAAACGAUGUCAACUAGUUGUCGGGUCUUCAUUGACUUGGUAACGUAGCUAACGCGU